rnacentral:lncRNA from 1 species
CCUACACAACUCACAACAAAGGAAAAAGAUUAUUUUGUCUAGCAAGCUAAAAAUAUACUAAUUGAACUAAAAAAAAAUGCUACUAAAUGAACUUCAUAUGACCCCCUCACCACAUCUAUGAACCCUAGAUUUCUAAGUUAAGAAAUAUGGUCUUACUAUAGGUAAAUCAAAAUUUAUGGGAUAAAAUCCUUUUUUCCAUAGAAUAUACUAAAUCUAUAUUCUUAUAGAUUUGCCUUAAGUUUAGUUAAAUAUGUGAAGUUGUCAUUUUUCUUUUCUCUUAAUUAUUUCCUUUUUCUUAUGCUUUUGCCAAUAUUAAUCCAUAAUUACAACAACAUCUAAUCUUAGGAGUAUUGGUAUAUCACUUGUUCCUUUUGUAAAGUAACAUCAUUGCUGAUACUAAAAAAAUGAUAGUAAAUGAACUUUAUAUCAUCCCCUCGCCACAUCUAUGAACCCUAGAUUUCUAAGUUAAGAAAUAUGGUCUUACUUUAGUUAAAUUAAAAUUUAUGGGAUAAAAUCCUUUUUCCAUAGAAUAUA